GAACCGUACAAACGUUAUUCGGAAUCACUGGGCUUAAAGGGGUGCGUAGGCGGCUCUGCAAGUUGGGGUGUGAAAGCCCUCGGGCUCAACCGAGGAAUUGCGCCCAAAACUGCCGGGCUUGAGGGAGACAGAGGUGAGCGGAACUUAGGGUGGAGCGGUGAAAUGCGUUGAUAUCCUAAGGAACACCAGUGGCGAAAGCGGCUCACUGGGUCUCUUCUGACGCUGAGGCACGAAAGCUAGGGGAGCGAACGGGAUUAGAUACCCCGGUAGUCCUAGCCGUAAACGAUGAGCACUGGGUCGGAGGGUCCUCCAUAACCUUCUGAUCGUAGCGAAAGUGUUAAGUGCUCCGCCUGGGGAGUAUGGUCGCAAAGGCUG
rnacentral:rRNA from 1 species